ensembl:lncRNA
UUUAAAACAUGUCUCCACAAACUAUUCAAUAAAAUUCUAGUGCAUUCAAUCUAUUAAAUGACAGCAGAGUGAGCGAGUUUUUGGAUAUGGUAAGAUUAAACUUAUUUUAGUGAAUAAAGUACCACAUUUCAGAUUUGUUAGGGUGGGUAAGUUACACAAAAUGUUAUUUUUUUCCAUGCUUCUAGAAAAUCCUCAAUCUAUAUGCUCCAUAAGAGCUUCAUGUGGCCAUGAACAUUUUAAAUUUAAUGUGGCUUUAACCACUAUGCAUCGUUAAAGUUACACUUUCUCCAUGACUAAGCCAUUAAAUGUGGUGCACUGUAAAAAAUUACUGAUGCAAAAAGUUGUACAAAUGAGGAAAUAAAUGUUGGCUCAACAUAAUGGUUGUGUCAAAAAAGAAAAAUAUGUUUGGUCAAUGAUUGCAUGAUUUCCAUGACUGUACUACAAAAUGUUCAUCAAGAGAAAAUAAAUAAUUGUGUUGACAGAACUUUUAACGUUGCACAAAAAAUAUUAUGUUGGCCGAGCAAGAGGGAACAGCGUCAAUCAUCUGAGCAUGCGCAAAGGAGUUCUAUCAGGCGCCUCCUGGAAUUUCCCCCACCACGAGUCACGACAUUGCAGUGCAGAAGAAAGAAAUUCAUACAGGUUUGAAACAACAUGAGGGUGAGUAUAUGAUGACAGAACUUUCAUUUUUCGGUGGAGUAUCUCUUUAAGGGAUCUGCAGACUUGCUGCACUUGUUAGCUGAUUAUCCCUCUCAGAUUGUGAUCUUAAUGUAUUUCAGGUAACUAUUUCAUGAAGUUGGUUGUAAUGAAGCCCAAUGUUGAAAAGAGUAGGUGAUCCUAUCUGUUGGUAGAGUAGAUGUGUAACCUCUUUGUUAAUUAAGUGACUUAAUAAUGUCUUAUUGAUGACCUGUCUUUUUGGCAGACCACAGAUCUAACUUAUAGAAGGUCUGCUGUUCUUCGUGGUCUUCCCCUGUACUUGAGAGAGCCAGCUUCAAUUUCAAAGACUAUUAAGGUAAUAAAUUUGAAUAUCUUUAUUAUGGUAUUGCUGUU